rnacentral:rRNA from 1 species
UACGUAGGGGGCGAGCGUUGUCCGGAAUUAUUGGGCGUAAAGGGCUCGUAGGCGGUUUGUCGCGUCGGGAGUGAAAACCAGGUGCUUAACACCUGGCUUGCUUUCGAUACGGGCAGACUAGAGGUAUUCAGGGGAGAACGGAAUUCCUGGUGUAGCGGUGAAAUGCGCAGAUAUCAGGAGGAACACCGGUGGCGAAGGCGGUUCUCUGGGAAUGACCUGACGCUGAGGAGCGAAAGUGUGGGGAGCGAACAGG